UUCAGUUUGGCUGGCCGGAACACAGGUGCUGCAUGGCUGUCGUCAGCUCGUGUCGUGAGAUGUUGGGUUAAGUCCCGCAACGAGCGCAACCCUCGCCUUUAGUUGCCAUCAUUCAGUUGGGCACUCUAAAGGGACUGCCGGUGAUAAGCCGAGAGGAAGGUGGGGAUGACGUCAAGUCCUCAUGGCCCUUACGGGCUGGGCUACACACGUGCUACAAUGGCGGUGACAAUGGGCAGCGAACCCGCGAGGGGGAGCUAAUCCCCAAAAGCCUCUCAGUUCGGAUUGCACUCUGCAACUCGAGUGCAUGAAGUUGGAAUCGCUAGUAAUC
rnacentral:rRNA from 1 species